rnacentral:rRNA from 1 species
UACGUAGGGGGCAAGCGUUGUCCGGAUUUCUUGGGCGUAAAGAGCGUGUAGGCGGCCAGAUAGGUCCGUUGUGAAAACUCGAGGCUCAACCUCGAGACGCCGAUGGAAACCAUUUGGCUAGAGUCCGGAAGAGGAGAGUGGAAUUCCUGGUGUAGCGGUGAAAUGCGCAGAUAUCAGGAAGAACACCCGUGGCUAAGGCGGCUCUCUAGUACGGUACUGACGCUGAGACGCGGAAGCGUGGGGAGCGAACAGG